AGCAGCAUGGCGCAGUCUGGAAGCGCGCGGGGCCCAUACUUAUGCAUGAAACCCCGAGGUCACUCGAUCGAAACGAGUUGCUGCUA